rnacentral:rRNA from 1 species
AACGUAGGACACAAGCGUUAUCCGGAGUUACUGGGCGUAAAGGGCGUGUAGGCGGAGAUGUAAGUCUAUUCUGAAAGCUCCUGGCUAAACUGGGAGAGGCGAAUGGAGACUGCAUAUCUAGAGUGAGGAAGAGGAAAGUGGAAUUCCGCGUGUAGUGGUGAAAUGCGUAGAGAUGCGGAGGAACACCAGUGGCGAAAGCGGCUCACUGGACCAUAACUGACGCUGAUGCACGAAAGCUAGGGGAGCAAACAGG